GGGACGGUAGCUUAGUGAUAGAGUGCUUGCCUUGCAUGCAUGAGGCCCUGGGUUCGAUUCCUUAGUACCA
rnacentral:tRNA from 1 species